rnacentral:rRNA from 2 species
UGAUGUAACUAGUUGUUGUGAGGCUCGACCUUGCAGUAAUGCAGUUAACACAUUAAGUGUACCGCCUGGGGAGUACGGUCGCAAGAUUAAAACUCAAAGGAAUAGACGGGGACCCGCACAAGCGGUGGAGCAUGUGGUUUAAUUCGACGAUACACGAAGAACCUUACCUGGACUUGACAUAGUAAGAAUGAUUUAGAGAUAGAUUAGUGUCUGCUUGCAGAAACUUGCAUACAGGUGCUGCACGGCUGUCGUCAGCUCGUGUCGUGAGAUGUUGGGUUAAGUCCCGCAACGAGCGCAACCCUCGUCCUUAGUUGCUAACAGUUCGGCUGAGAACUCUAAGGAGACUGCCUACGCAAGUAGGAGGAAGGUGAGGAUGACGUCAAGUCAUCAUGGCCCUUACGUCCAGGGCUACACACGUGCUACAAUGGGGUAUACAAAGAGCAGCAAUACGGUGACGUGGAGCAAAUCUCAAAAAUGCCUCCCAGUUCGGAUUGUAGUCUGCAACUCGACUACAUGAAGUUGGAAUCGCUAGUAAUCGUAGAUCAGCUAUGCUACGGUGAAUACGUUCCCGGGGCGGUGACCCCCCA